rnacentral:rRNA from 1 species
CGCAGCCGCGGUAAUUCCAGCUCCAAUAGCGUAUAUUAAAGUUGUUGCAGUUAAAAAGCUCGUAGUUGAAUUUCGGGAUCAAAUUGUCGGUCGUGCCUCGGUACGCACUGGCGUUAUUGGUUCCUCCCUUCUGAAGAACCGCGAUGUCAUUAAUUUGGUGUCGCGGGGAAUCAGGACUGUUACUUUGAAAAAAUUAGAGUGUUUAAAGCAGGCUCGCGCUUGAAUACAUUAGCAUGGAAUAAUGAAAUAGGACGUUUGAUUCUAUUUUGUUGGUUUCUAGGAUCGACGUAAUGAUUAAUAGGGAUAGUUGGGGGCAUUAGUAUUCAAUUGUCAGAGGUGAAAUUCUUGGAUUUAUUGAAGACUAACUACUGCGAAAGCAUUUGCCAAGGAUGUUUUCAUUAAUCAAGAACGAAAGUUAGGGAUCGAAGACGAUCAGAUACCGUCGUAGUCUUAACCAUAAACUAUGCCGACUAGGGAUCGGAUGAUGUUAGUUUUUAAUGUACUCAUUCGGCGCCUUACG